rnacentral:rRNA from 1 species
AGUGAACGCUGGCGGCGUGCCUAAUACAUGCAAGUCGAACGGAGUGGCGCACGGGUGAGUAAUAUAUAGCUAAUCUGCCCCUUGCUGGCGGACAACAGUUAGAAAUGACUGCUAAUACUCCAUAGCAAGGGAUGAGACUAUAUCGUAUCAGCUAGUCGGUGGGGUAACGGCCUACCGAGGCUAUGACGCGUAACUGGUCUGAGAGGAUGAUCAGUAGAAUUGGAACGGAGACACGGGCCAAGAUCCUUCGGCAGGCAGCAGUAGGGAAUAGUGCGCAAUGGGGGUGUCCCAGACGCAGCAUCGCCGCGUGAAGGAUGAUACGUUUGGGAGCGUAAACUCCGUUUGUUAGGGAAGCGGUACCUAACGAAUAAGCACCGGCUAACUCCGUGCCAGCAGCCGCGGUAAUAC